rnacentral:rRNA from 1 species
UACGAAGGGGGCUAGCGUUGCCCGGAAUUACUGGGCGUAAAGGGCGCGUAGGCGGCUAGUUCAGUCGGGGGUGAAAGCCCGGGGCUCAACCUCGGAACUGCCUUCGAUACUGGCUAUCUUGAGUACGGGAGAGGUGUGUGGAACUCCGAGUGUAGAGGUGAAAUUCGUAGAUAUUCGGAAGAACACCAGUGGCGAAGGCGACGCACUGGCCCGUUACUGACGCUGAGGCGCGAAAGCGUGGGGAGCAAACAGG